AACCUAGCACACCUGCGGUGUGUACCUGCGGAAGGAUCAUUAUAGAGUUUUCUAAACUCCCAACCCAUGUGAACUUACCUUUUGUUGCCUCGGCAGAAGUUAUAGGUCUUCUUAUAGCUGCUGCCGGUGGACCAUUAAACUCUUGUUAUUUUAUGUAAUCUGAGCGUCUUAUUUUAAUAAGUCAAAACUUUUAACAAUGGAUCU
rnacentral:misc_RNA from 1 species